GACGAACGCUGGCGGCGGGCUUAACACAUGCAAGUCGAACGGAAAGGCCCUGCUUUUGUGGGGUGCUCGAGUGGCGAACGGGUGAGUAACACGUGAGUAACCUGCCCUUUACUUUGGGAUAACUUCAGGAAACUGGGGCUAAUACCGGAUAGGAGCUCCUGCUGCAUGGGGGGGGGUGGAAAGUUUCGGCGGUUGGGGAUGGACUCGCGGCUUAUCAGCUUGUUGGUGGGGUAGUGGCUUACCAAGGCUUUGACGGGUAGCCGGCCUGAGAGGGUGACCGGCCACAUUGGGACUGAGAUACGGCCCAGACUCCUACGGGAGGCAGCAGUGGGGAAUAUUGCACAAUGGGCGGAAGCCUGAUGCAGCAACGCCGCGUGCGGGAUGACGGCCUUCGGGUUGUAAACCGCUUUCGCCUGUGACGAAGCGUGAGUGACGGUAAUGGGUAAAGAAGCACCGGCUAACUACGUG
rnacentral:rRNA from 1 species